UGAUAAAAACUAACAAGAAUAGUUUCGAAUAUAAGCAAACGAUUGAAAAAACCGUACCUAAAAACUACCACAAGUAAGCUAGUAGAGAAUACGAAGGCGUUUGAGCUAACAAUCAUUAAGGAACUCGGCAAAUUGACACCGUAACUGAGGGAAAAGGUGUGCC
rnacentral:rRNA from 14 species